GCAGCAGCCGCGGGAAUACGAAGGGUGCAAGCGUUACUCGGAAUUACUGGGCGUAAAGCGUGCGUAGGUGGUGGUUUAAGUCCGUUGUGAAAGCCCUGGGCUCAACCUGGGAAUUGCAGUGGAUACUGGGUCACUAGAGUGUGGUAGAGGAUAGUGGAAUUUCCGGUGUAGCAGUGAAAUGCGUAGAGAUCGGAAGGAACAUCUGUGGCGAAGGCGACUAUCUGGGCCAACACUGACACUGAGGCACGAAAGCGUGGGGAGCAAACAGGAUUAGAUACCCGUGUAGUCCCUGUCUCUUAUAC
rnacentral:rRNA from 1 species